rnacentral:rRNA from 1 species
GACGAACGCUGGCGGCGUGCUUAACACAUGCAAGUCGAACGGAAAGGCCCUGCUUGCAGGGUACUCGAGUGGCGAACGGGUGAGUAACACGUGGGUGAUCUGCCCUGCACUUCGGGAUAAGCCUGGGAAACUGGGUCUAAUACCGGAUAGGAGCCAUUUUUAGUGUGAUGGUUGGAAAGUUUUUUUCGGUGUAGGAUGAGCUCUCGGCCUAUCAGCUUGUUGGUGGGGUAAUGGCCUACCAAGGCGGCGACGGGUAGCCGGCCUGAGAGGGUGGACGGCCACAUUGGGACUGAGAUACGGCCCAGACUCCUACGGGAGGCAGCAGUGGGGAAUAUUGCACAAUGGGCGCAAGCCUGAUGCAGCGACGCCGCGUGGGGGAUGACGGCCUUCGGGUUGUAAACUCCUUUCGCUAGGGACGAAGCUUUUUGUGACGGUACCUAGAUAAGAAGCACCGGCUAACUACGUG